rnacentral:lncRNA from 1 species
UUGUUGGAGCUCUCUCCUUUGUGGAGUUUUUCUGUGAGCCUGGGUCUUUAGAGACAGAUGCUCCCUGCCUCCAUUUCUCAGAGGAAGCCUGAGAGAAACAAGCACUGCUGACCUGCUGGCACCAGCAACAGGAAGAGCAGCCCUGUGUUUCCCUGCCCCAGCAGUGCACCUGUUCCUGGGGGCUGGAAGCAGUGUUGCUAUUAAUUGGCUGAAGUUGCCCUAUAAAACUUGAGCUUUAAGACUCAGAAAC